UACGAAGGGGGCUAGCGUUGCUCGGAAUCACUGGGCGUAAAGCGCACGUAGGCGGAUUGUUAAGUCAGGGGUGAAAUCCUGGAGCUCAACUCCAGAACUGCCUUUGAUACUGGCGAUCUCGAGUCCGGGAGAGGUGAAUGGAACUGCGAGUGUAGAGGUGAAAUUCGUAGAUAUUCGCAAGAACACCAGUGGCGAAGGCGGCUCACUGGCCCGGUGCUGACGCUGAGGUGCGAAAGCGUGGGGAGCAAACAGG
rnacentral:rRNA from 1 species